rnacentral:rRNA from 1 species
UACGGGGGGGCAAGCGUUGUUCGGAAUUCCUGGGCGUAAAGGGCUCGUAGGCGGCCAACUAAGUCGGACGUGAAAUCCCCAGGCUCAACCUGGGAACUGCGUCCGAUACUGGUUGGCUUGAAUUCGGGAGAGGGAUGCAGAAUUCCAGGUGUAGCGGUGAAAUGCGUAGAUAUCUGGAGGAAUACCGGUGGCGAAGGCGGCAUCCUGGACCGAGAUUGACACUGAUGAGCGAAAGCCAGGGGAGCAAACGGG